ensembl:rRNA 5S_rRNA 5S ribosomal RNA
GUUUAUGGCCAUAUCACCCUGAAGGAGCCCGAUCUCAUCUGAUCUGGGAAGUUAAGCAGGGUCAGGCCUGGUUAGUACGUAGAUGGGAUUCCGCCUGGGAAUACUGGCUGCUGUGGGCU